GACGAAGGAUGCAAGCGUUAUCCGGAUUCAUUGGGUUUAAAGGGAGCGUAGGUGGCCUUAUAAGUCAGUGGUGAAAUCUCUGGGCUUAACCCAGAAAUUGCCAUUGAUACUGUAGGGCUUGAGUACAGUUGCUGUGGGCGGAAUAUGACAUGUAGUGGUGAAAUACAUAGAGAUGUCAUAGAACACCGAUUGCGAAGGCAGCUCACAAAAACUGUAACUGACACUGAGGCUCGAAAAGUGCGGGGAUCAAACAGG
rnacentral:rRNA from 1 species